UGAAAAAAUUAAAUCAAGCUU
rnacentral:piRNA from 1 species